rnacentral:rRNA from 1 species
UACGAAGGGGGCUAGCGUUGCUCGGAAUCACUGGGCGUAAAGCGCACGUAGGCGGGUCUUUAAGUCAGGGGUGAAAUCCUGGAGCUCAACUCCAGAACUGCCUUUGAUACUGAGGACCUCGAGUCCGGGAGAGGUGAGUGGAACUCCGAGUGUAGAGGUGAAAUUCGUAGAUAUUCGGAAGAACACCAGUGGCGAAGGCGGCUCACUGGCCCGGUACUGACGCUGAGGUGCGAAAGCGUGGGGAGCAAACAGG